rnacentral:lncRNA from 14 species
AAAACGUGACUGGAAAACUGACACAAAUGCAUUGGAUUUCACACCGCUUCACAAGCGGUGAAGGUGCAAAGGACAAUGAUAUCCCACACCAGCGUUCCUCAUCCACCGCCUCUGCCUUCUGCUGAAGCCGGGACUGUGACACCGUGACCGGGUUUCCUGCUGCUCCACACCUUAUCCUGAGCCGUUCCCAGCCCUUCCCUGGAAUCGCCGCCUCUCAGAGCCGUCAGUGGAGCUGCGUUUGGAGCCUCUCCGCGGGCCGGCUGUGCUGAGCUGGGCUGCGCUGGAAAACCCCCGUGGUUUGUGUUGGACAGUGCCAGCCUGUUUGUGCAGCACCUCAUCCUGUACGUCAUCCUCCUCUGGGCUCCUGCUCUCUGUCACCCCGACAUCUGCACUGCUGCCCACCUCUGCCACCCCAACAUCUGCACUGCUCCCCACCUCUGCCACCCCAACAUCUGCACUGCUGCCCAGCUCUGCCACCCCAACAUCUGCACUGCUCCCCACCUCUGCCACCCCAACCUCUGCACUGCUCCCCAGCUCCCCAGCCCCUCAGUGCCCCAGGCCCGGGGAGGGCAGUGGGUUAUGGGAUCCCCA